GUCAGGGGGAAGUGUUCGCUCUCAAGACUUCUUCAGGAAUGAAAAUGGAGGGUGAUAGGACCUGCCCUGAGGGGUGGAAGAUCCGCGAUCUUUGGGCGCAACUCACGCAAAUGGCCGUCUCUGCAAUUCUUCUUCUUCUUCUCUUUGUUCCAUCGGAAUCUUGGGCUCGACAACAUUUGAAAUUUGCAGCUGACAACGCCCUGCCCGGGGCUCUGGUCGACUACGGGAUUACCGACGCCUCUUCAAUGUGUGUCUGCAGAAUUAUGUGCAUCCGUAAUAUUUCUUGCAGCGGCGUCACUGUUCAGUACGACGGAGGUACAG